rnacentral:rRNA from 1 species
AUGAUAGCUUGCUAUCAGGCGUCGAGCGGCGGACGGGUGAGUAAUACUUAGGAAUCUACCUAGUAGUGGGGGAUAGCUCGGGGAAACUCGAAUUAAUACCGCAUACGACCUACGGGAGAAAGGGGGCAACUUGUUGCUCUCGCUAUUAGAUGAGCCUAAGUCGGAUUAGCUAGAUGGUGGGGUAAAGGCCUACCAUGGCGACGAUCUGUAGCUGGUCUGAGAGGAUGAUCAGCCACACCGGGACUGAGACACGGCCCGGACUCCUACGGGAGGCAGCAGUGGGGAAUAUUGGACAAUGGGGGCAACCCUGAUCCAGCCAUGCCGCGUGUGUGAAGAAGGCCUUUUGGUUGUAAAGCACUUUAAGCAGUGAAGAAGACUCCAUGGUUAAUACCCAUGGACGAUGACAUUAGCUGCAGAAUAAGCACCGGCUAACUCUGUGCCAGCAGCCGCGGUAAUACAGAGGGUGCAAGCGUUAAUCGGAAUUACUGGGCGUAAAGCGAGCGUAGGUGGCUUGAUAAGUCAGAUGUGAAAUCCCCGGGCUUAACCUGGGAACUGCAUCUGAUACUGUUAGGCUAGAAUAGGUGAGAGGAAGGUAGAAUUCCAGGUGUAGCGGUGAAAUGCGUAGAGAUCUGGAGGAAUACCGAUGGCGAAGGCAGCCUUCUGGCAUCAUAUUGACACUGAGGUUCGAAAGCGUGGGUAGCAAACAGGAUUAGAUACCCUGGUAGUCCACGCCGUAAACGAUGUCUACUAGUCGUUGGGUCCCUUGAGGACUUAGUGACGCAGCUAACGCAAUAAGUAGACCGCCUGGGGAGUACGGCCGCAAGGUUAAAACUCAAAUGAAUUGACGGGGGCCCGCACAAGCGGUGGAGCAUGUGGUUUAAUUCGAUGCAACGCGAAGAACCUUACCUGGUCUUGACAUAUCUAGAAUCCUGCAGAGAUGCGGGAGUGCCUUCGGGAAUUAGAAUACAGGUGCUGCAUGGCUGUCGUCAGCUCGUGUCGUGAGAUGUUGGGUUAAGUCCCGCAACGAGCGCAACCCUUGUCCUUAGUUACCAGCGGGUUAAGCCGGGAACUCUAAGGAUACUGCCAGUGACAAACUGGAAGAAGGCGGGGACGACGUCAAGUCAUCAUGGCCCUUACGACCAGGGCUACCCACGUGCUACAAUGGUAGGUACAGAAGGCAGCUACCCAGCGAUGUGAUGCC